rnacentral:rRNA from 1 species
UACGGGGGGUGCGAGCGUUGUCCGGAAUCACUGGGCGUAAAGGGCGCGUAGGUGGUUUGAUAAGGGUGUGGUGAAAGUCCGGAGCUCAACUCCGGAUCUGCCGUGCCGACUGUCAAACUCGAGGGCUGUAGAGGCAGACGGAAUUCCGGGUGUAGCGGUGGAAUGCGUAGAGAUGUGGAGGAACACCAGUGGCGAAGGCGACUCUUUGGCCUGUAACUGACGCUGAGGCGCGAAAGCGUGGGGAGCAAACAGG